rnacentral:misc_RNA from 1 species
GUCCACUCAGUUUAAAUUUACAUCAGAUUGAAAUUUUGCUUCACCUAUUACUAACAUUGGCAAAGGAUGAGUAUUUUAAUUGAAAAAAAUCAAAUCAAAUCGAUUUGAUUGGAUUUUUGGAUUCAUUAAUUCGGUUUCGAUGAUCAUUGCCAAUUCAAUGAAGAAAUUUCAGUUAUUAAAAAAAAUAAUAAUAAAGGAAGAAACUUGUUAGGGUGGUUGAGAUGAAGUAAAUCCUUUCCAAUUGGGGAUUUAGUUUCUCUAAAUCCUAAGCAAUGCUUAGGUAUCCAACCAGAUGCAGUUGUUGCUAGAUAAGCUUUCGCCCUCAAAACUCCAAGCAUCAGCUCCUGGUCAAAACUUACUUGGACCCCAACAAAAUCCAAUCACACAAUUCACUGAGACUCAAAUCAAACUACAAAUUGGUGAUGCCAGCUUUACACCCAGCUGCAGUCCUUUCCAGAGAAACUGACUGGGAGAGAGGCAAAGCAUCCACAAACACCACGCCACAGUGGAAGUUAAAAACUUUCAGCUUUCGGCCACCCUUCAAAAUGGAAGCAUCAAAAACUCGCCAUUUACACACGCCUUUAUUCCAAUACCCAAAACAGCCAAAACCGACAAACCUACAGCUCUUCUCUCUUAUCUCAAGGUCUCUCACCUACUAAUAACGUUUUCUUGUCCAGAAAAAGUAGCAGUGUAUGUUAUGGAUCAUGACAAAAACAAAGCUCUUGAGUUGAGACAGGUUCUCAUUUAUCUUGUGACUUAAAUGUUAUAGCUGCAACAGUGGCAAGUGAUCCAGCAAAAUAUAAUGAAGCAUUUCUUGGAAAACCAAAUGAGGAAUAUUGUGCUUGGAUUCUUGACUUAGAGAAGUGGGGAGGUAUGCUAAACUUAUUUUCUCUGCUAUCAAGUCCAUGCUUUGUUAUGUAGAUGUCAAAUUACCAAAACUAGUCUGGAAUUGGGGACUGUUAAGUGUUAAGAACAUGAAAUUUAUUAUCUACAAAAUUUAUUAUAAGCAGCAGCUACGUCUGCUGAAAAUGUUCCUUUUCAGUGAACAAAAUUACUUCAAUAUUUAGAAUAUGAACUUUUGUCAGUGUUGCCUAUGACAAGCAACAAUAUUUUCCUGUAAGGCCUAGAAAAAGAUGGCUGUUUUAUUGUCAGCUAAACUACAGUGCUAGAGUCAAGAUGCUAGAAAGUAGUUAUUGUGGUGUAUUUAGGAUGCUUCUAUAGAUAUUUGAAAAUUUUCUUCUUUAAAAAUGCUUAAACUGAAAAAGACUAAAAAUGAGUUUUUAUUACUUAUUUUACCAUGCUAGUUUAUGUAUUUGUACCUUUAAUUGCUCAGUCAUUAAAGCCCUUGAGUUUGGCUCCUGCUAGCUAUAGAUACCUUUUAGGAGCUAGAAGCUUCAUCUGUUUGGGCAUAAACUUCUCUGAUGUUAGAUUGGACCAAAUUAUUUUCUCAUCUCUUCUUUUCUCUGCCUAACUGGUGAAAACGUUAGGCAUAACUUGAAAAUUCAUGUUUUAUGCUGUCUUCACGAAUGUCGAAUUUCUUGUGAAAGUAGAUUAAUGAAAUUUGAGUCUUACAUAGUCUAAACUUCAGCAGUAUUAGGAAAUUGCUGGAUCUAGGAUGUUGUCUUGGCUUCUACUAGACAUUUUCUCAUUCUAUUUGAUAAGAUUUACGUAAAUAUCUGCUUCAAUGUAAAUAUUCAAGCAUUCUUGUCCUUUUUUGGCAAGCAGGAAUGUUAACUGUAUUGUGCUACUGAUUUUCUGUAUGUGAUGUUUUAAGGUGCCAUUGAGAUUUCAAUAUUAGCUGAUUAUUAUGGGUGUGCAAUUGCUGCAUAUGAUAUCGAAACACUACGAUAUGAUUUGUAUGGUCAGGUCAGCACUAGUAGUGGUUCUCUUUAUAUCACGGUCAUUCCAAGUUAUGUCACUGAAUGUUUCUUUUGUUCUUU